UGGGGAAUUUUGGACAAUGGGGGCAACCCUGAUCCAGCAAUGCCGCGUGAGGGACGACGGCCUUCGGGUUGUAAACCUCUUUUAGUAGGGAAGAAGCGAAAGUGACGGUACCUGCAGAAAAAGCACCGGCUAACUACGUGCCAGCAGCCGCGGUAAUACGUAGGGUGCAAGCGUUAUCCGGAAUUAUUGGGCGUAAAGAGCUCGUAGGCGGUUUGUCGCGUCUGCUGUGAAAACUGGAGGCUCAACCUCCAGCCUGCAGUGGGUACGGGCAAACUAGAGUGCGGUAGGGGAGAUUGGAAUUCCUGGUGUAGCGGUGGAAUGCGCAGAUAUCAGGAGGAACACCGAUGGCGAAGGCAGAUCUCUGGGCCGUAACUGACGCUGAGGAGCGAAAGCAUGGGGAGCGAACAGGAUUAGAUACCCCGGUAGUCCCUGAGCGGGCUGGCAAGGCGCAU
rnacentral:rRNA from 1 species